UGCUUUUUAAGAUUGCCUGUAUGCCUGUACAUGAAAAAUCUCAACAAUUCUGUUUCUUGUCUACAUGAUUUUGUGCUAGCUUAUCACAAGUUCACGUUGCAUGCUCAAUGUAGUAGCUAGAUGAAGAAAAGUUAUUGUUCUGUAGCUUUGGUCUUACCAUUGUGGUGCUUGUGUUAUUGCGUGGGAAAAUGAAAGAAAGGAGUAUUUUUGCAAAUCAAUGAAUGACAACAAAGUUUGCUGUUUCCCCACCCAAUUUAGAGCUCCAAAAAAGUUCAGAGUUCAGAGUAGUUGUUUGGAGAUGAACAAUAAAUAAGUAUAAUAAAACAAAAGAAAAAUUUGUAAAAAGUACGACAAAGUUCACUAUGUAUUUCACCAUCAGUACAUAAAGAAAUAUUAUAUAAAAUUCCCUGCUCACAGACUAUAUUUAUAGCCUAAUGGUUAGUGUCAAAAUGUGUUGUUCUUGUUUCUUUAUGGUUGCUUCUUUAUUAUAUGAAUAUGAAUGUGCUAGCUAGCUUAAGCUUAGCAAUACCUUUUGGAGUCAAUAGGUGUAGCUCAAAUAAUUCUUGGGCCAUUUUGUCAUAACAAUAAGGCAGGACAUGCUAACAAGAUGAUGAAACCAUGUAUAUAUAACUUGAUGACUGUCCAAAUUGAGAAAAUCCUGAAAUAUUAUAUGUGCUCUCUUUGUAUCAGUUCUUAUGCUUGUGACAAUUCUGCACUCAUAAUGUGCUCGGUAACUAGAAAAAAAUACAUAAGUUCGAAAUAUACUUACCAUGUUUAUUCAGUGUUUUUUCAGUGGUUAUUGGUUUCCUCUUGAGCAGAUGAACUACAUUGUCACAUUAAACUGCAGGGAGAUGUUCCCUCAGUCCUCUCUCGACAAAUCCAACAGUACAGGUUCUCCGGCGCGCCAAGUAUUGCCGGCGGCGAUGCCUGCAUCAUGGCCCAUUGAGGAGAUCAUGCCCGUCAGUUGUAGGUUUUUCUGUUUGCACAUUUAUUUGUUUAGCUUUAAAUUUUGUUGUUUUCCACAUCUGAUACUUGUGUUAAUGCUUCUAUGUGUGCACUUCUGAUCCCAUUGUGAGUAAAAAGACAAGUGAGAUAAGUACUUAUUUGGAAAGUUUGCAAGUUCAAACACAAAAACCUAGAAGUUCAUUGAAAAAGUUUGGUGUGGUCUUCUCCACCACGAGCCCCAGCGUGGAUCACCUGCAGCAGCCAAAUCCCGGCGCGCCCAGCCACUGCUCGUGAACCCCGCGUCCAUCAGCUCCACUCACCGGAGCCGUCAGCCCGCAGGAGUAGGGGUAGCAGGUUCACCCGACGUACUUGGUGGUGCAGACUUGGUAGCGGUUAUAUUUUGGUUCGAUUAUAUAUCAACAACAGUGCAAUGACUGAAAGAUCAUCAGUCCAAAAUAUAUGCAGGCACCAAAUUCUGCUACUGCUCCGACCACUCAUGCCAAGAAAAGGGAGCACAAUUCGCAAGGUUCAGAGCAAUCUGUCAUAGUUGAUUCAGUGUCUAGGUCUAGUGGAAUCCCCAAGGUGCGUGCAGAUUUAUGAAAUUACUAUGUACGGGGUGAGUUUUGUUUGUUGUGAGUAAUGGACUAAUGGUUAUCUGCUGCUCCUUUUUGUCAAGAAUUUGUAACGAGUUUCAGUUCUGAUUUCACUCGCUCACAGUACCAUUGUUCUUCAUAGCACACCACCUGUUUGUGCAAAUACCUAUGAGAGGAUACCAUACAAUGGAGAUGAAAAGGUGUGUUCAAAAUAAUGUCAAACAACCUGCUCCUUUCAAACAUUUUGGAUAAGUGCAGAAAUGAAAGUGUGCAAGUUCAAAAAAGCUAGUUCAAUAAGGUAUACAGAGAGCUUUUUUCAAAUAAAAGUUUUCCUGCAAUUAUCAUUUUUCGUGUGUGAUCAUUUCUCCACUUAGAGCAAUUUUCAUGUGUGAUCUGUACUUUAGGUGCUAAUAUAAGAAUUCGUGUCCUCAGGGAGUUCAUGUGUUACUACCAUAGGGGUUCAAAAACUACACAAUGAAAAAGUUCGCCCCACAGUACGUUUAAACAAAGAUACUCUAGAAAUUUUAUUGGAAAGAAUACUUAACAUGAGUGGCAUGUUUGUUUUAGUGUGCCUAAAGAAUGGCCCGAUGACGCAAAUGCAUCCUUUCUUUACUGUUUCUCUUGCUUAUUAAGAGCUGAAUUGAUAACUUAUCUUGAACUGAAUGUUGCUGCAGUUUGGGGAUUUUAUGUUAUAUGGCAUUUGGGGAUUUUGCAGCAGUUUGCCAAUAAAGGUUUACACCUCUUCAGAUUAUGAAAAGCUAGUAAGUUCAGACUCUGGAAGGAGAGAUCAUCGUUUGUUAAGGUCUGGUGUUUAGUUGGUGGUUAUGUGGUACCUACACCGUCACUUUUCAUCAAGACCUCAAGAAGAGAUAUCAUCUCAAGUUCAGCGCUGAUUUCUGACUUCCUCGGCCAUCACCACCACCUCAUGUAAGUUCGCUGCCGAGAACAAGCACGACCACCUACAGUCUCCGGUGGUCGCCUUGGCCACCCUCGGCCACGAGCUCGUCCACCAUGGUUAUUCGCACCCGUCCAAGUGGAGCACGGACAUCAGUCCAUGUAGAAUUGAAGCCACCAUCUUCAAAAGCAGAAUAGUUGUGCUAGUUCAAUUUUUUCAGUCCAUAUUAUGUGUGCUAUUCAGUACAUCUAAUGCCAAAUCAUAUGUACAAUUGCCUCAUCUUCAUAUAACAUUCAGGAAUUCAAUUUAUAAUGUUGUUUACUGUCCUAUUUUUUUGGUACCAGUAACCUUCCUAUAUACAUAUGCAGCAUCAGUUCAGCCGCUGUUAUGGUAAUAAGUACUCCCUCCGUCCCAUAAUACAAGACGUUUUUGGAGUUCAAAUUGAACUGCAAAAACGUCUUACAUUAUGGGACAGAGGGAGUAGUUUAGUAACUAGAAAAACAACAAAAGGUUGGUUCACUUUUUUUCUCAGAAGCUUUUCCGGUUCACCUUGUAUAUGGUUUUUCAGUUGACCUUGUAUAUGCCUUCUCAGUUCAUUGUACAUGUUUCAAAAGGAGCUCCCUUGUUUCAGUAGAUGUGGAGAUUGGUAAAAUCUAAAGUUCAACUUUUCUGAUGGGGCACUUCAUAAAGCAAAGAAAAAACCAAGCAGCAAAAAGUGAAGAAAAAGAAAAGAAAACCAAAGUGGUUCUGAGAAGAAAAUGCCUACUAUCGAGUAAUACAUUCUCUCGUUAGUCUAUGGUUAUUUGUUCAUGAGAAUGAAAAAAAUAGUGGUACUAUACAUAGUACGUGAGCUGUUCAUAUAAAAAAUGCCUCGGUUUGUGUAACAUCAGUUCUAACUUUUAUAGCUUGAUAAAUGAUUAGAAAUCAACCUGAAUUCAUUUUGAUCCAUUCUCUUGUGAUUUUAGGCUGAACUCCAAUACUUGCAUCCGCCACCCUAACGCUGGCGUGUUCCCUCAGUCCUCUCUCGACAAAUCCAACAGUACAGGUUCUCCGGUGCGCCAAGUAUUGCCUGUGGCGAUGCCUGCAUCAUGGCCAAUUGAGGAGAUCUUGUGUAUUCCACAUAGAAGAAAUAUUGUCAGUUCAAGAAUAGAGAAUUUCUGUACCAGACUUAAUAUUAGUUUGGUGCGUAUUCUAUCUUCAGUCCAUGAAAAAUCACAGAAUAGUUGGUGCGUGUGUAGAAAAAUCGUCGGUGCAAGUUUCAAAAUUCUGUAACUUUAGAUAUAUCACCUAAAUAAGUAAUGAUUUGCAGCGAGUUUCUUCAAAA